rnacentral:rRNA from 1 species
AUGAACGCUGGCGGCGUGGAUUAGGCAUGCAAGUCGCACGAGAAACCCCGCAAGGGGGAGUACAGUGGCGUAAGGGUGAGUAAUGUAUCGACAACCUGCCCCUUCAUGGGGGACAACCCCGGGAAACUGGGACUAAUACCCCAUAACGUCGCGGAGCUGCAUGGCUCUGCGACCAAAGGUGGCGACCUGUUUACAGGGCUGCCGGGGAGGGAGGGGUCGAUAUCCUAUCAGUUAGUUGGUGAGGUAAUGGCUCACCAAGGCACUGACGGGUAGCGGUUCUGAGAGGAUGAUCCGCCACACUGGUACUGAGACACGGACCAGACUCCUACGGGAGGCAGCAGUGAGGAAUAUUGCACAAUGGGGGGAACCCUGAUGCAGCAACGCCGCGUGGAGGAUGACGCAUUUCGGUGUGUAAACUCCUUUUAUAUGUCAAGAAAAUGACGGUAGCAUAUGAAUAAGCACCGGCUAACUCCGU